rnacentral:rRNA from 1 species
UGCAAGUCGAACGAUGAUCCCCAGCUUGCUGGGGGGAUUAGUGGCGAACGGGUGAGUAACACGUGAGUAACCUGCCCUUGACUCUGGGAUAAGCCUGGGAAACUGGGUCUAAUACCGGAUACGACCAUCUGGCGCAUGUCAUGGUGGUGGAAAGCUUUUGUGGUUUUGGAUGGACUCGCGGCCUAUCAGCUUGUUGGUGGGGUAAUGGCCUACCAAGGCGACGACGGGUAGCCGGCCUGAGAGGGUGACCGGCCACACUGGGACUGAGACACGGCCCAGACUCCUACGGGAGGCAGCAGUGGGGAAUAUUGCACAAUGGGCGCAAGCCUGAUGCAGCGACGCCGCGUGAGGGAUGACGGCCUUCGGGUUGUAAACCUCUUUCAGUAGGGAAGAAGCGAAAGUGACGGUACCUGCAGAAGAAGCGCCGGCUAACUACGUGCCAGCAGCCGCGGUAAUACGUAGGGCGCAAGCGUUAUCCGGAAUUAUUGGGCGUAAAGAGCUCGUAGGCGGUUUGUCGCGUCUGCUGUGAAAGACCGGGGCUCAACUCCGGUUCUGCAGUGGGUACGGGCAGACUAGAGUGCAGUAGGGGAGACUGGAAUUCCUGGUGUAGCGGUGAAAUGCGCAGAUAUCAGGAGGAACACCGAUGGCGAAGGCAGGUCUCUGGGCUGUAACUGACGCUGAGGAGCGAAAGCAUGGGGAGCGAACAGGAUUAGAUACCCUGGUAGUCCAUGCCGUAAACGUUGGGCACUAGGUGUGGGGGACAUUCCACGUUUUCCGCGCCGUAGCUAACGCAUUAAGUGCCCCGCCUGGGGAGUACGGCCGCAAGGCUA